CCGAAUAAAGCCGUAAGGCGCUUUGAGAGGAGCCCGCGUCCCAUCAGGUAGUUGGUGAGGUAAUGGCCCACCAAGCCGAUGACGGGUAGCUGUUCUGAGAGGAAGAUCAGCCACACUGGCACUGAGAUACGGGCCAGACUCCUACGGGAGGCAGCAGUGAGGAAUAUUGCACAAUGGACGAAAGUCUGAUGCAGCGACGCCGCGUGAGCGAUGAAGGCCUUCGGGUCGUAAAGCUCUUUUAGCAGGGACGAGUGAGGACGGUACCUGUUGAAUAAGUCUCGGCUAACUACGUGCCAGCAGCCGCGGUAAAACGUAGGAGGCGAGCGUUAUCCGGAUUCACUGGGCGUAAAGCGUGCGUAGGCGGUUGGGUAAGUCGGACGUUAAAGCCCCUGGCUCAACUAGGGGAGGUCGUUCGAUACUGCUUGGCUUGAGGAUGAGAGAGGAAAGCGGAAUUCCCGGUGUAACGGUGGAAUGCGUAAAGAUCGGGAGGAACACCAGUG
rnacentral:rRNA from 1 species